UGGGACUCACUGCCCUGCACCUGAGCUGCAGGUCCUCCAGCCUCUCAGCAUCAUCCUUUGCCACCUCCCACUUCAGUUUCAAGGAGGAGAAGUAAAUCAUCCACUCCAGCUAAUGAAGUUCAAUCUCCCAGAGAGCUCCAGGAGUCACCCUGCACUUCACUAGAUGUCCAAGGAAUCAAGGGAAUAUGAGAAGUUCCUGGGAGUCUGCAUGGUGGGGGUAUUCAAGGUGACUAAUUUGCCUUGCCACAAGAGAGAAAUGAGACAUUUUAGUAUCUAAACCAGUGAAAAGAUAACAACUGUAUCAUCACAUCAUGAAUCUGCAUUUCUACAGUAUGAACAAGCCAUGAAAAAACAACCUCCUUGGGCAGGCCAGAGAGUGGAGCAGAGAGCAAAGAGGUAACUCUUGUCUCCAAAUCCCAGGAAAAGAAAAGGAUUCAGAGAGAUAUGGAGUAUCUCAGCAAAAUAAAAACAAAACAAAACGAGUGACCACAACAAAUUUGGUCUGGGUAUGCCAGAGGCCAUAAAGGAUGCUUUCUUUUUACCACUGUAAAAGGGAAUUUUUUAGUGAUUGAAGAAAAGAGGAUAAAAUACUUGUAGAGAGUUUUUCUCAAGCACAAAUGUAAGAAUGUGCUGGAACUCAGACCCUGAGAUCAGCUCAGUUGGUUAGACCAUGCUGCUAAUAAUACACACAGUAGUGGGUUCCAUCCCCAUAUGGAACACCCAUUUAAGAGAUUACCUUGAUGGUCCUUGUGGGUCCCUUCCAACUCAAAAUAUUCUGUCAUUCUGCAACAGUAAAAAGAAAACAAAAAACCAAAUCCAGAAUGCUUUCCAUGUUAGGGGGUUUUUUUGAUGUUGUUUGGUUGGUUGUUUUGUUUUUGGUUUGUUUUUUUUUUUUAAGAGACAUCCCAAUGCAACUGUUACCAAUGCUAAAAAAAGUUAAUCUUUCUGCUCCCUGAGUAAGCCCCAAGCUGGAAUAGAGUACACAAACCUAAUUCUCAAAUUCCUCUCUCUCUGCUCAACAACACAAAAAAUAUAAAAUAAAAUGGGAAAAAUGGAAAGAUGGAAAAAGUCACAUUAGGGUGGGGGGAUAUUGCUGGAAAAUACUGAGGAAACAAUUAAUUUGCCACUGUUGGAUGGUUUUGGUUUUGGGUUUUGUUGUUCAGGGAUUUUUGUAAGGAAUUUUCAGGCUAGUGAUUUUUAGUUCUGGUUUUUAUCAUUAUCUGUAAGAUGUCAAAGAAAUACAAAAUCAGGUGUAAAGGGCCUGACUUUAGAGUACCCUGAUUUUUCAUGCCAAUUUGUAAUAACCCCUUACCUCAGGUAUAGCACAAAUACAGACAGACCAUCAAAAGCCCCCAAGAUAAUAACUGUCUCCAAAAAAUUGCUAUUAUUUCUUUGAAAUCAUUUUUAGUUUCUUUAUUUCUGAGUUAGUGGAGGCUUACAGGCAGUUUCAAACCCAAGCUAUAUAUCUGCAGAGAUGAGACAGCACUUCAAUUAUCAAGGUAUGUCUCUCACAUAGCCCCCAAAUAGCACAUGUGGAGAAAAGGACACUUGAGAACUUGAUAUAAUCAUCACGGCUGUCCCCAUUGUUCAGGUUAGUAUCCCCUGUCUUCCUCUUCUUCUAACUGGCUUGAAAAAGGAGGGUUUUGCUGCUAAAUUACCAAACUGACAGGCAGACAAGCUGGAAGAGGUAGGAAAGCAGCUCUAUGCUUGUUGCAUGCAAUCCCAACAGCUCCCGAAGCUGUGGGAUACUGUGAGGCAUGGCAGCCCCAUGCUGAUCUGCACAUGGUCGUAUCAUGCUAUGGUUGCCACAAUAACAUACAUUUUUUUCAACAUUUCUGGCAUAUUAAUUGGGAAAACACUAGUCAGAAGCUUAUUCUUUCUUAACCAUUUCUCACACAUGUUUUUCACAAAUAGCUCUUUUUCACCUACACUGGAGAAUGUUUUUUAACUUCUAAUAGGACCAAAAUGUGCAAACCAGAGGCAAACAGCACAUAAAUUUGCUUCAACGAGUUACAUUUAAUAUGCAAGAUGCCACAUUAAAAUGUAUGAAGUCUUUUAACUCUAGCCCACAGACAAACAGAAACAACAAGAAAAAUAAUGAAAGGAAAAUAUCCUGACUUAUCUUUGUAGCUACUGGUGCAUUUCUGUACUCUCCUUUUCCUGUUUAGAAACUGUCUUUGGAUUUGUAACAGAAAGGAAGAAAGGUUUAUGGUGUGCUCUGCAGUUAAGGGCUUUACAUGUUCUCCAAUGUAAUCCUUCACUCUUGGAGCAGGCAGCUCUGUUAAAGGACAGUAAGCAUGGAGCAACGUGCGAAUGCAGCCUUUCUAUACUCAGAAUAAAAAUUUAUUUUCUAAACCUGAUUCCAUGAUCACCAACCAGCAGCUUGAAUUUGGAGGAAUGUUUUAAUUUCUAACUCUUAAGGAAUGGUUCUCUUGUAGUUUCUGCCUACACAAGCAGAAACCACUUCCACUGCUAAGGCUGUGCUAGUCUUGCUCAUUUAGAGACAAGCCAAGCUCAAAAGCAGCAUGCAGCUGCAGUGAUAAAACAAAACUGCAGCUUCUGCUCUCAUCUUGGUAGAGCAAAUAGGAAUCCAUUUUUCCAAAAACAUUUCUCUACAUAAAACAGUUUUAAGGACUUCAUAUUAGCCAAAGUGAAAUUGGUCCAGCAUUCAGGUGUGUCCUGACUCUUUCCAAAGAAUGAGAAGUUAUUCCUACAACAGCCCAACCCAUCUCUUCUUACUCCACCUGUGCUACACGAGCAAGAGAAAGAGAACCCCUGUGAAGACACCCCACCACUGCCAGCCAAGUGGCACCCAGGAAGGUACAGUGCCUCUACAGCUGGGGCACAUUCAGAGCUUGCAAAAGAGCAAAAGCACAGCAAUGUAAUGCAGGCUACACUCUGACUCUCUCCUAACAGUCCCUGAGGACACUGAGAAAUGAAAAGGUCUUUGUGUCUGUACCACCUCCACUUUAUGAAGUACAAUGGUACAUGACACGUUACUCCCACUUUCACUUCUCAAAGCAGAGCCUAAUUUUUUAUGCUUCUUUUUGCUACAAGCCACUGUGGUAUUCUCUAUCAAAAAACCAUUCAGACUUUGUGACUUAUCAGUCUGCAGCUCAGAAGGGCCCAGACUGCAACUCUUAGGCUAUUAUUCUGUCCAAACGUGCAACAUGAUUCCUUCAAAUCUGUAAAUUCCUCCUCUUCUGUUAGAGAACAAGCAAGGUGACAAAUGGUUCUGAAUGCCAAUAUAUUACAGAGAAGGGUAUGCUAACUACAGCUGGGGUAAUUAAAGCAAAGCUUCUCUUUAUCACAUUACAUACCAUAUCUAGUGGGCUUUGCAUGUUUGAGUGCAUGAAUACUGAAUAUUAUAAUUUUGCAGAAAAAGCAAAAUCCAGACAAAACAGAAGCAGACCUGUCACUGGUAUAAAAGUCAAAAUCAGCAGUACAACAAUGUAUUCUCUCAUGUUCUCAUAAGAAAGUUUUCAAUAUAUAUGUUCACUUUUCUCGUCACUCAGCAAGGUUAGUAUCAGUAACCCCUGAGCCCAACAAGACUGAAAUACAUCUUUCACAGCAAGUGUAUUGCUUCUGCAAAACUUCUCAGGACACCCUGCUUAAUUUGAAGGAUAAAAUUAAUAGUGAAAGAAAAAAAAAUGGAGCCAACACUAAACUGCUGUUUAAGGAGUCAUUUCAGGCUGUUGAUUAACUUCUGAAGAAUAUUGUUAUUUAUUGCUAAAGACAAAUAGUAUGUUCCCAUCAGGAUCUCUAUUAUACAUUGUGCUAUAUGCCUUUCUCUGGAGGAUGAAGGUCUGGCUGCAUAUAAUUAGUCUUGAGAAUUAGCUAUUAUUAACAAUUGAAUUAACACAGUCAAUCCUUCCAAAGGAGUUUCUCACUAAGUGUUUGUUUGCCAAAGUCAAACUAGAGAGGUCUAUAUAAACACUCUUGUGACAUUCCCAGAAAAAUUAGUGCACCCAGAGAAUUUAAUGAAUGCUUCUACUAAAAAUUAGUAACAGUGCAGGCCGAGCAGAAUACCUUCAUUUUAACCAGUAAGAAUUCUCAUACCAGCAGCCAGUCAUAGCAUAUUGAUCACAAACCAUGGAGAUGAGUUGCUUUCUUCAUAAUUAUCUGUCUCCAGCAACUAUGGUAGGAAAACUGCUAAUAUUCAGAAAUAACUAAAACAGGCAAUCAAUAAGACAUUAUUUAUUACAUCACCAGUGCUGAUAGACUGUUAUAAUUCAUAAAAACUUGUGAAGUUUAUUGAUUUUCUAAGAUACUGACUUAAAAUUGAGCUAUAUUUUCAAAUCACUGAGUUUACAUGAAACUAUAGUCAUUAUAGCAAAGUGGGCUUUUUAGACAAUUUAAGAUGCAACAAUGUCAAUACAUAUUAAAGGCACAAAUAUAUCUGGGUCCAGAACAUAAAGCUGCAUAUGCUACUAUAUCAGUUGUUAUGCAUGAAGGGGACUUCUUGUUCUACAAUAAGUAAUGUACUUGUUUACAACCCUAUUCAAUAUAGUCCUCUGAAAGUUCAUAAAAGCAUGAUAAACAAUGGCUCAAGAUUGAAAAACUCAAGUUUUCCAAGUGCAAUAAAACUAUACCUGUCGAUUCCCACAAAGGCUCUUUACAAUUGUAACAAUAAUUUGGCAAAGCAGAAAAUGCUUGUCCAAAUGAAAAAGCUGACAUUUUUCGUUUCCAUGUAGCUCAACAGCUUGCUAUUUCCAAUAAUACUAAAUCAGCAUCUUGUCUACUUUUCCCAAAAGGAACACUUUAUUCACUAUAAGGUUACGUUGUUCAUUUAAAUCUGCAGGGCAACAGAAUUUUUUUUUUUUUAAUGGUGAAAUAAUUAACUCUGGAAGUCAUGGAAAAUGUGUAUUUCUCCAUAUGUAUAAAACCCUUUCAAACAGUACUGCUAGGUAGGAAAGAAAAGUUAAUUACCACAGAACUAUCUGACAGGAAUUUAUUAGAGGAAUUACUGCUGUAUUUCAACACUGUAGGUACUUUCCCUGACAGGAAAAUCUCCUUCCCAGGAAUUAGUUAUAAGUGUACCUCGACUUUUGAUGUGCAUGUAGAUUUGACUUUGCUUUUGAAAGCAGAGCAGCCUCCUUUCUUCUUCUGCAGGGUGUGUUGUGUUCCCCUUUAGAGGUCAUUGGUGCAGGAAUAGUGCUGGAGGAGGAAGAACUCCAAACAAAUGUUCAGAUCUCCCAUCUGCCAUCCUGGUCUCACAGUGUGACCUAAGGAAGGUCCACAUCAGGUCAAGGGUGGAAACUUUAGAGGUUCAGUUUUUCUGUGGGUUUCUGUUACCCUCAAGCUUUCCUUCUGUGGAAUCAGGAAGAGUGGAGAGAGACAGAGACACAGCUGGGAUGCUCAUGAGAUUCUGCAAGCUUCUGGGUUUGAUCCUUCCAUGCUUUUCACUGCUCUGACAGUAGCAUCUCAAAAUAUUAGAAAUAUUAGAAAAAGGGGGAGAGGCAGCUUGGGGCUACAAAGCAUGUGAGGGGAUGCCAGAGAAAGUUCUUGCCAGGUACUCAAGCAAGAAUGGAGCAUUGUACAAAUUCUCUGCAAAUUCAUCUCCCCAGCUCUCAUUGAGGGUUUCAUCAACAUAGACACUUUAGCAGGUACAGCACACCAAAAAAUACAAAGAAAAAAAAUUACAAGAUUACCACAGCCAACAGUAAACAAUACAGAUCACCUCUAGCUACCCCUUCAAGAGAUUUCAAAUUGUUUUUUUAAAUGAAGUGUUUACUGUAAUAUUGGGAAAUAAACUGUUCUGUUAGGUAGCAUGUGUCUUUACAGAUUCUUAUGUGCCACAAUUUGUCUCUCAUCCAGAAGGCAUCUUUCCAAUGCGUUUUUUUGUUUGUUUUUUCAAUAUUAAAGAAAAGAGCCCCUUACCAUUCCACAAGCUUGCUUAAGUACCAAGCAUAUUAGCAGUCUGAAAUGUUUUCAUGUAUGGGUGACAGAGAAAAAGGUACAAAUGGAUCCUAAUUCAUUCUUAGGCAGCUCCAUAUUUGGAAGGGAAAAUGAGCUGUGCAAAAUUUCCUGAGGCAAGAAAGCUAGGUUUUUCAAUACAAAAGUGUGCUCUUAUGGGAAUAAUGAGAACAACCUUUGAGUUCCUGAAGUAUUAUAAAUUAACUGAGCCAUCCCCAGACUUUGUGGUCUAUUAAGGUAUGUGGAGAGGGAAGAAAAGAUUUUCCAAUAACUUUAAUGACACUGGACAUGUUUGGAUCAUGAUACGUAUUUCUAUACCACCUGGACUGUGGCAACUUUUUUCCUUCAAUUAUUAAACUCCCAAAUAAAGGAUUUAUUUAUGCUUUUUUCUCCCCACAAUCUAUUUUGAUAAGGGAGGAUAAUUUAGAUCUUUUGCAAAAGUGAAAAAAGAAAUAUAUAUAAAUUAACAGGGAUUUUUUUUCCCAGAGAUCAUAUUCAAAAGUCAAAGCAAAUAAAAACAGAAUGGGUUUAAGUAUCCAUGCUUGUAUCUCGAACAUUGCCACAGGAUCUCAAAAAAAAAAUGUUUUUUUCAGCAGGUUCUGAGACUCUUUAAAAUGAAAGAAAUCACAAAGCCCAGCACUUUCGCAGGUUGCUAACAGGAACAAGGCUUUAAUCUAAGAUAUCUCAGGGAAUCAAGGACAAUAAACUUUGAACAUUACCUGUCCCUUUCUGAAAAAUCAGAUCCAAAAGGCACUAAAACACACACACACACACACACCCCCCACACACACAUCAGAUGGAAACAAUACAAAACCCCCAGUUUUCCUCCCUCACCAGCAGGCUGGUGUGAGUUCUCAUUCCCUUGGCCAAGACCUAAUUAAAGAGGCCCCUGUAAAAUAUUGACUGUAGAAAGAACUGCUGCAGUAUGAAAGGCUACUGUCCUUGGAGGUGCUUGUUCACACCCUCUGCAGAAAGGUACCAGCAACACAGGAGAGCCAGAGCACAGAGCCUCCUGCACCUCCCCCAGGGCAAGGAUGGAGCAACCCCAGAAGCUCUGUUGCAUACGAUGGAAGAAACAGAAUUCUGAUAAGUUUUUGAAACAAAAUAGCAAGAAACACAACUUAAGGUAUGGCAACCAAAAAGCAUACUUUUUAAUAUCAAGGAAAAAAAAUAGUAAUUUCUGUGCUGGAUAAGUCAAGCCUUUAUUGCUAAACCAGCUUAAGUUAAAGCAGGUGGCAAACUGCUAUACUCUGUAACCAAUGAAAGCAUAAAAAUCAGUAUCACAAGUUAUUUCUUAGCAUUCCAGUUGUAGCAAGCAGGAGAUUCAGGAAAACUUAUUUUAAUUAAAAACUUUAUUUUUCAUUACAAUUCACAGUUUAUACAUGGCAAGAAGAACCCUUGCCAUGUGGACAUUCAGAACACUGUGCUGGGGAGACAAGGGUCUUUGUUAUAAGAGCAUUGCUUGGUGCUGUGUCAUGGAACUUUCUUAGUUUUAAAAGCGUACUCUCUGUAAAUGUUAAUUGACUGAUAUUUACACUGAAUGUACAUAUUAACUUAUAUUUAUUAGAAAACAAGCUAAGCAUCCAAAAAACAUGAACAUUCAUAUCUUGCAUUUUAUCUAAUGGUCAGAGAUGCUGUAAGAUUUGCCACUUGAAUCAUGCCCAAUCAGCAAAGUCCCAUUUUUUUUAAUUUACAGAGCCUAAAUUUUUCUUUAAGGCCUGUUCUACUCAUUUUAUGUACAGCCAGGUUACAGUAGACUAACAAAAGGAAAAAAAUGCAAAAUUAUCCAUUCCAUCCUGCAUUUCUUCUGAAUCUCAUGUAAGCAAAACAGAAGGUACAAAAUUAAUGUGUUUUCUUAACACCAAUAAAGAAAACCCACUGUCUGGUUUAGAUCUGCUUCUUGUCAGCCUAUCCUGUCUGAACAAUCAUCGGUAUUCAGAUUGUGCUAUUUAUCAGCUUUUCUUCAUGCCUGCAUUGAUAUUCAGAGCCAUCUCUAUGUGAAAUGUAGAAAGUCACAGUGAUACCAGUUUCAAUUGCAUUCCCACGUUAGCCACAGCUCUGGCACAGGCAGCCCACGUGACAUUCAGGAAAACACUCUGCCAGGAUUCCUGGGUAAAAUAUCAUGUAGCCUCUGGGGUGACUUGGCUUAAAAAGGAAAUUAAGUAUCCUUUUCAUACCAAAUAUCUGGCAGAAGGUUUAUGUUUAUUAAAAAUAGCUGUAUUCUUCUGCAUUGUUAUUUUGGAUGAGAUUAUUAGAACACAGAAAUUUAAAGCCUCCCCCUGCCUCUCAUCAAAACAGUAAUUUUUACUUGCUCUUGUCAUCUACCAAAUAAUUUAGUGAUAGAUAAGCUGCAGAUUUUUUUGGUACAUCUAAUGCGGAGAAAAACAACUGCUGAACACUGCUUGGAAAACUAAGACCUGAAAAGGGUCUGCAAAUCCUACAAGUCAGCAUGAACAAGUAUCAGCUGGACCUGAGUAAAACAAAAUACUUCCGGGGGACAGGUUUGCAACUUUUGAAACUGCAGUGCCUUUAAAUUUGGAGCUAACAACAUCAAUUGAUGAUUGUUGAGUUUUGGCAUUCAUUCAUGCUGGUUGGUAUCUUCACAACAGACACCUUUGAAACACCACCAUUUCAAGAACGAAAGGCUUAAAUGAAAUACACU